rnacentral:rRNA from 1 species
CCUACGGGGGGCUGCAGUGGGGGAUAUUGCACAAUGGGGGGAACCCUGAUGCAGCGACGCCGCGUGAGCGAUGAAGUAUUUCGGUAUGUAAAGCUCUAUCAGCAGGGAAGAAAAUGACGGUACCUGACUAAGAAGCCCCGGCUAACUACGUGCCAGCAGCCGCGGUGAUACGUAGGGGGCAAGCGUUAUCCGGAUUUACUGGGUGUAAAGGGAGCGUAGACGGCAGUGCAAGUCUGAAGUGAAAGGUAAGGGCUCAACCUGUGGACUGCGUUUGAAACUGUGCUGCUUGAGUGUCGGAGAGGUAAGCGGAAUUCCUAGUGUAGCGGUGAAAUGCGUAGAUAUUAGGAGGAACACCAGUGGCGAAGGCGGCUUGCUGGACGAUGACUGACGUUGAGGCUCGAAAGCGUGGGGAGCAAACAGGAUUAGAUACCCGAGUAGUC